rnacentral:rRNA from 1 species
UACGUAGGGGGCUAGCGUUGUCCGGAAUCAUUGGGCGUAAAGAGCGUGUAGGCGGUCCGGUAAGUCUGCUGUGAAAGUCGGGGGCUCAACCCUCGAAAGCCGGUGGAUACUGUCGGGCUAGAGUGCGGAAGAGGCGAGUGGAAUUCCUGGUGUAGCGGUGAAAUGCGCAGAUAUCAGGAGGAACACCAAUUGCGAAGGCAGCUGGCUACACAUAUAUUGACACUGAUGCACGAAAGCGUGGGGAUCAAACAGG